rnacentral:rRNA from 1 species
AACUUCUGGUACUGAUGCUGUGUUCGCCCGGCGGCUUCGUGUCGCUUGUGUGCGUUCGAGCAUCUGCCAUCCUUGUAGGUCGUACUCGGCUGCCCUUCGUUGUGUGGUCGAUACGGUCUAGAUCUUUUACUUUGAAAAAAUUAGAGUGUUUAAAGCAGGCUUGCGCUAUGAAUACAUUAGCAUGGAAUAAUAAUUUAGGACUUUGUUUCUAUUUUGUUGGCUUCUAGGGACGAAGUAAUGAUUGAUAGGGAUAGUUGGGGGUGCUAGUACUCAGCGGCCAGAGGUGAAAUUCUUGGAUUCGCUGAAGACUAACUUAUGCGAAAGCAUU